AAGUUAUAAUAAUAUACUACGAUAAUGUGCACAGCAUUUUUUUCGAGUUUUUAUACGCCACCAACAAAUGUUAUCAAUAAUCGAUCAUUUCGGAACUUACUAAUAAUUUUUAAAAAAAGUCGAUACCGCCCACUAUUGUAGAUACUAUAGGUAGAUAGUUGGAAAAUUAAGAUGCAAAUCAUUCCAUACGAAAAUACGAAAAACGAUUAAGAGUGAAUUAUUAUUAGCCGUACUUUUUCCUUUUCUGUCUUUUCCAGCAGAAAUUACGCCUCUUUUAAGGCACUGCGUAAAAAAUAUCG